rnacentral:tRNA from 1 species
GCCGAGGUAGCUCAGCCUGGGAGAGAUAAUUUACUCUAACACUCGGCUGAAGACCGAGCUGUCGCCGGUUCAAAUCCGGCCCUCGGCA